UAAUACCAGCUCUCCGAGUGGUGGGGAUGUUUAUUGGGCCUAAAGCAUUCGUAGCCUGCUUGGCAAGUCCUCCGUUAAAUCCAACGAUUCAAUCGUUGGGCUGCGGGGGAUACUGUCCAGCUAGGGGGCGGGAGAGGCCGACGGUAUCCCCGGGGUAGGGGUGAAAUCCUAUAAUCCCGGGAGGACCACCAGUGGCGAAGGCUGUCGGCUAGAACGCGCUCGACGGUGAGGGAUGAAAGCUGGGGGAGCGAACCGGAUUAGAUACCCGGGUAGUCCCAGCUGUAAACGAUGCAGGCUAGGUGUUGGCGCGGCUACGUGCCGCUCCAGUGCCGCAGGGAAGCCGUUAAGCCUGCCGCCUGGGAAGUACGGCCGCAAGGCUG
rnacentral:rRNA from 1 species